rnacentral:rRNA from 1 species
CAAGCGGUGGAGCAUGUUGGUUUAAUUCGAAGCAACGCGAAGAACCUUACCAGGUCUUGACAUCCCGAUGCUUAUUUCUAGAGAUAGAAAGUUACUUCGGUACAUCGGUGACAGGUGGUGCAUGGUCGUCGUCAGCUCGUGUCGUGAGAUGUUGGGUUAAGUCCCGCAACGAGCGCAACCCCUAUUGUUAGUUGCCAUCAUUCAGUUGGGCACUCUAGCGAGACUGCCGGUAAUAACCGGAGGAAGUGGGAUGACGUCAAAUCAUCAUGCCCCUUAUGACCUGGGCUACACACGUGCUACAAUGGUUGGUACAACGAGUUGCGAGUCGGUGACGGCGAGCUAAUCUCUUAAAGCCAAUCUCAGUUCGGAUUGUAGGCUGCAACUCGCCUACAUGAAGUCGGAAUCGCUAGUAAUCGCGGAUCAGCACGCCGCGGUGAAUACGUUCCCGGGCCUU